rnacentral:lncRNA from 1 species
UGAAACAUUCUACUUUAUUAUGUUCCACUUGAUUUUGUAUUACUUGAAUCUAAUUGAAUUUACUUUAUUUCGUCGUGUGAUAUUUUAAGAUAUUUUAAUUCCAUUGUAUUUGUUUUAGCUAUUCGAUGAUUAUCUCUCUAUGAUGCACACCAAAUUACAGAUUACGUAUUCUGGCAUUAAUAUUUUUUCUUUUUAUGCAUACGUUGCAUCUCAAUAAUUAAAAAUGAAAGAUGGUAUGGGCUUGUUUGGAAAUAUGUAUGAUGCAGAGCAGGUUUGUUGAUGAAAAUAAAAUCGAGCAAUGAGGUGAAUAAAACCAUCAUUGGAUAUCAGGAGGGGGAGUAAAUAGACUGAUUCCUAUCGUGGACAUUAACCUUAGUCGUAUGGGGUUGGGAGAUUGUAAAUGGUACCCAUACCGAAUGGGGUAUGGGAACGGCCGAUAAAAGCGGUAUUCAUAUCGGACACGGUAUGGAGUAGCCAGUUCAAGUGAUGCCCAUUAUCGGACGAGGUAUGGGACGGUCAAUAUUUGUGAAAGAAAUGUAAGUAUCCACGAGUAAGAGGAAUUCCUAUAGGCCCAUCGAUACCGGUAGACGAAAAUAAUACUAAAAGAUGUGUAAGGGAAUGGUAAACAAUUAAUUACAUUUUAUUAUAUUCCUGAAUAUAUCUAAAUGUUUGUGCAUGAAAGUUGUCUAAUAAGGAGGUAAGUAAUAAACUGUUUUCCAUAAAAAGGAAGAGUGCGACCACACCAGUAUGGUUUUUAAUACAAAGUGAGUGCUCCAUCAGUUGUUUUAUAGUUUUCUACAAUCUUUUGGUUACUGUGUUGGCGGUGAGGUUUUUAGCAUUCUAAUUAAGCUAGUAUUGCUCACCCCCUUCUUAUUACCAUUUUAAAUAAGGACAUUUAAGAUCCAGAUCCAGAUUAAGAACAGUGAGAGAAUAGAUUAGGACAUCAUCCCUAUCCACCCCGUCAUAUUCGAAUUGAGGUUACUCAUUAUUGUAGUAGUUAUCUUUGUUUUAAGUUCUAAACAUUUCACUAGCCCCUAUUUUGGGUAGGUUUAAGUAAACAUGCAAGAAAUGUAAUAUUCAAACCUUUAAUUCUCUUGCGCAAUGAUAAUUUCAGAAUUACUAAAUUAUUAUAAUCGGACUAAAUGCCCAAAAUCCCUAGAAUGAGGUUUGGGUCUUUACAUAAUGUAUUUGAUAAAGGUCUUCCACUCCUUAGAGGAGAAGAUUUUGGGGACAUCAUUGACUCGUUGAUGGAUUCUAUUGUAUAAGUUUUUCUGCGAUUGUGUCCUUGUUUAUAAUAUUUCUUCUCUUUUUUUUUUUUUGUUCCAAUAAAAUAUGAUCACUUUCUUUUUUUUCUGAAAGAGAGUAGACAACACAUAGUAAGGGGCCUUCCUUGCAUAGAUGAGAAGGUUACUUCCAGCGGAUCUAGUAAGGCAGCCUUUUCCGAAAUGUACAACUUAGCUUCCA